rnacentral:ncRNA from 1 species
UCCCCGGUUGAUCCUGCCAGUAGUCAUAUGCUUGUCUCAAAGAUUAAGCCAUGCAUGUCUCAGUGCAUGCCGAAUUAAGGUGAAACCGCGAAUGGCUCAUUAAAUCAGUUAUGGUACAUUAGAUUGUACCAACAUUUACUUGGAUAACUGUGGUAAUUCUAGAGCUAAUACAUGCAAAACAGAGAACUGACCAGUGAUGGAAGGAACGCUUUUAUUAGAUCAAAACCAAUCGGUGGCCCGCGGUCCGCCGUGCGUCCACCGUUUAUUUUGAUGACUCUGAAUAACUUUGUGCUGACCGUACGGUCUCUGCACCGGCGACGCAUCUUUCAAAUGUCUGCCUUAUCAACUGUCGAUGGUAGGUUCUGCGCCUACCAUGUUUGUAACGGGUAACGGGGAAUCAGGGUUCGAUUCCGGAGAGGGAGCCUGAGAAACGGCUACAACAUCCAAAGAAGGCAGCAGGCGCAUAAAUUACCCACUCCCGGCACGGGGAGGUAGUGACGAAAAAUAACGAUACGGGACUCAUCCGAGGCCCCGUAAUCGGAAUGAGUACACUUUAAAUCCUUUAACGAGGAUCCAUUGAAAUGCAAGUCUGAUGCCAGCAGCCGCGGUAAUUCCAGCUCCAAUAUCGUAUAUUAAAGUUGUUGCGGUUAAAAAGCUCGUAGCUGUAUCUGUGUCGCACACCGUCGGUUCAUCGCUCGCGGUGUUUAACUGGCGUGAUGUGGGACGUCCUACCGGUGGGCUUUGCCUCGCGAGGGGCGGCACAACUAAUAUCCCGUCGCGGUGCUC